GGUGCCGGCGUCUUCAAGUGCCGGAAGUGUGAACCUGCGGGCGGGCUCGAGCUCCGGCUGAGGCGGCCUCGGGCUCUGUGCUCCCGGGCACUCGCGCCGCUAUGCGGCUGGGCUCUGGGGUCUUCGCCGCCUGCUGCGUGGUGAUUCAGGUGCUCGGGGUCGCCGUCUUUCUCCGGGGUUUCUUCCCGGUGUCGUUGCGCCCUGUAUCCCAGGUCCAGCCCCAACCCCCCGCGCCGGAGCCCGCGGCAGGAACAAGUUCCAACUGGACCCAACUCCCACCUGCUAUCUUCAGAAAAGUUAUUAUAAUGUUGGUAGAUGCCUUGAGAGAUGAUUUUGUGUUUGGAUCAAAGGGUGUUCAAUUUAUGCCUUAUACAAAAUAUCUUAUGGAAAAAGGAUUUGCGCAUAAUUUUAUAGCAGAAGCAAAGCCACCUACAGUCACUAUGCCUCGAAUAAAGGCUCUAAUGACAGGAAGCAUCCCUGGCUUUAUUGAUGUUGUUAUGAACUUUAAUUCUCCCGUGUUGCUAGAAGACAAUCUCAUUGGGCAAGCAAAAGCAGCUGGGAAAAGAGUAAUCUUUUAUGGAGAUGAUACAUGGAUCAAGUUAUUCCCAAAGCAUUUUGUGGAAUAUGAUGGUACAACCUCUUUUUUUGUGCCAGAUUUUAAAGAGGUUGAUGAUAAUGUUACAAGGCACUUGGAUACUGUAUUAAAAAGAGAAGACUGGGAUAUACUAAUACUUCACUACCUAGGAUUGGAUCAUAUUGGACACUUGACUGGGCCACAUAGUUCUCUGAUAGGACCAAAGCUUAAAGAGAUGGAUUAUAUUUUAAAGAAGAUCCACAUUUCGUUGUUGUCCAAGGAAAAAGAGGCUUCUUUGCCUCAUUUAUUGGUCCUUUGUGGAGAUCAUGGGAUGUCUGAAGCAGGAGGCCAUGGAGCCUCUUCAGUAGAAGAAGUGAGCACACCUCUGCUUUUGAUCAGCUCUGCAUUUCACAGGAAAAUGGGCAACUUGCAACCUCCAAAACAUGUCCAGCAGACUGACCUGGCAGCCACACUAGCAGUAGGCCUCGGUUUGCCAAUUCCAAAAAAUAGUGUGGGGAGCAUACUAUAUCCAGUUGUGGAGAAAAGAACAAUGAGAGAACAGCUAAGGUUCCUGCACUUAAAUUCAGUACAGCUCAGCAGACUCCUGCAAGAGAAUGUGCCAAUGUAUGAGAAAGAUCCUGGAUUUCAGCAGUUUAAAGUAUCAGAAAAGUUGCAUGGUAAUUGGAUCAAGCUGUACUUGGAGGGAAAUAAUUCAGAAGUCCUUUUAAACCUUGGCAAAAAAGUUCUUAAGCAAUAUCUAGAUGCUUUGAAGACGCUGAGUAUGUCACUGAGCAAACAAGUAGCCCAGUAUGAUAUGUACUCAAUGAUGGUUGGAGCUAUCAUAGUCUUGGAGAUUACGAUUCUUCUUUUGCUCAGUACCCCAAAAGCUUUGUGCCAGAAUGCAGCGUUUGAGAUUCCAUUGUCAUCUUCUUCGUUUUCUUUGCUGUUCUACUUGAUGGUCCUCAUUCUCUCUGCGGUCCAUGUCAUCAUAUGCACCUCAGCUGAGAGGACGUGUUUCUUGUGUAGUAUCUCUUGGCUGAUGGCUGUUGGGGUGAUGAUGCUGAUUUCUGCCCUGCUCUGUGUGAUUGUGGCUCUUCUUACAAAGACAUUUGAGAAUGUCAGACCUUCAGCUCAGAAUCUUGCUGCCUCCAGUUCUGGCUGGUCAGAAUUAGAUCUGCUUAUUUUAUUUGGAACUCUGGGCCAUGUUCUGAGUUUGGGUGCAAGCAGCUUUAUAGAAGAAGAACACCAAACCUGGUAUUUUCUUAUCAAUACUCUCUGUCUUGCUCUGGGCCAUGAAGUGUUUAGAAACCAUUUUCUUGGGAAGGAUUUGGAUCAUAAUUUGGCUGUGGAACAGAAUAUUAAAAAAAAUGCCAAGAACGUUUUACAAUACAAAAAUGACUAUGUAGAUGUUCCAGAGACUAGUAAAAUAUACAAGGCAUCCUCUUCUAUGGAACUACUACCAAAGGUUUAUGAAAAAUGGUUGCAAUUGGCCAGUCCAUGGUUCAUCUUGAUUUGCUGUAGACUACUACGCACAUUAAAUCAGACAGGAGUGCAGUGGGCUCAUCGACUAGACUUUGGCCAUUGGCUGACCAGUUCUGAUCAUAAAAUUGAACUUUCUGUUCUGACAUGUCUCUCCCUUAUUAUGAUCUUUGUUCUGGUUCAGAGAAGAUGCUCUUCUGUUUCAAAAGUAGCAAUGGCACUAGGGCUUUUGGGAGUCUUUUGCUACCGCGCAGCAAUCGGAAAUGUCUUAUUGCCAUGGCAACGAGACCGAAAAUCUAUUUCUAAGGGAAUUAUUGAAGCUCGUUUUGUGUAUGUCUUUGUUCUGGGUAUUCUUUUCACUGGAAUCAAAGACUUGCUUAAGUCCCAAAUCAUUUUUGCAGACGUCAGUAUCAAGAGUCUAGGUUUGUGGGACAUAUAUAACGGAUUAGUUCUUCUAGCAGCCUUGCUGCUUCGGCCUCACAAUCUUCCUGUUUUGGUGUUUAGUCUGUUGAUUCAGGCUGUAAUGACAAAAUUCAUCUGGAAGCCCUUAAAACAUGAUGCAGCUCAGGUUACAAUAAUGCAUUAUUGGUUUGGCCAAGCAUUCUUUUAUUUUCAGGGUAAUUCCAAUAACAUUGCCACAUUGGAUAUUUCAGCAGGCUUUGUGGGCCUAGAGAGUUUUAUAGAAGUACCAGCUCUUUUCCUUACAGUCUUUGCAACAUAUAUCGGACCUAUCCUUUGGGCCAUUCACUUGCUAAGUUUUUUGAGUUCAGAAAACAACAGGAGCUCAGCAAUAAGUCAUGCCUCUUUCUGCUAUGCGUUGAUAUGUUCCAUCCCAGUGUCGGCAUACAUCAUUCUGGUGACAUCUCUACGUUAUCAUUUGUUUAUAUGGAGUGUGUUUUCUCCAAAACUUCUCUAUGAGGGAGUGCAUCUAUUCAUCACAGCUACCAUUUGUGUAUUUUUCAUAGUUAUGGAUCAAACCAAUCUCAUAAAACCUUAGUCUUUUAAAUAUGCCAGGAAAGUACUAUACUUUUUAAAAAGCCUAUGAAUUGCCUACUGGAUUUGAGUAAUGGGACAAAUAUUUAACUACUAAGAAGAUCAUUCUAGAAAAAGAUAUUUCUGGCUUAUGAGUCUGCCUGUUGUUUUUUUAAAAUUCUUCAACUUCUUCGAUUCCUGUAUUGAAUUUAGAUUUACUGUCUUACUGUGUUAUAUGAUGAAAGAAAUCCUUUUUUCUGGCCAACAAUAACCGGACAGCACCAAAGGACAGCACGAAAAAUGUGCAUCCAUUAACCAAUUCCCUCAAGAAUAGAGCUGAACAAAGAAGAAAGAUGGCAUCUCAACAAGGUUACAGUUAUGUCAUGGCUGGGUCUCCUCUGGUCAGAUGAACCAGAUACAUAAUUGCCAAAUCUCAACUCCACCUUGUUCUGGACAUGGUUAAUUCUCAUCCCGGCAGCCUGCUUCCAGUUGGGUAUGGCAGUUUGUAUAGACACUUUUAGCACAAGUGUUCCAACAUUUUGGUAAUUAGAAGGGGUUCCAAAGACUAAGCGUCUAAGUUACUUUUUGCUCAGUUCUACCGUAUUCUCCAAGAUCUAGAGGCUCAUUACUCUCUAAACUCCUUCCAUGGAGAAAAUGGCCUUCUCCCCCAAUGUGGACCCCUUUGGAGGCUUCCUUUACUCCAUGUUAAGACACUAUAGCCUCCAAUCUACAGGUCAGAAAAGUAGUACAACUAGAAGGUGUAAAUACAUUGGAUCCUUAUCCUGGAACCCCAAAUGACUAGAAUGUGGUGAUAGAUAUUCCUUGAUAUUUCUAGGAGUAACAAAAAUCACAGCCAGGCCUGUUGGGCCACUAAAUUACCACUUGACUGUCAACACAACAUUGAGACACUAAUUAAUGAGGGUAGGACAGAGAUCCAAUCAGCUAACCUUGUUUGGUGUACAUGACACUGAAUAGGCAAUCACUUUGGUUUUUUAAAUUAAAUAACUGGUAGUUUAGCUGAUUUUUUUUUUCAGUCAAAAAAGCAACAAAAUAUACCCAUUGCCUACAUCAACACUGUUUCAUUGGAAAUGGUUCCCCAGUAGCUUCAAGGGGUUACUGCACUGCCAGGGGUCUCAGGCCACAGAUGUUCUCUUUGACCAAUAUUUUGUAACAGCCUGGCUUUUUUGACAUUUACUUUCCCAAGUCUGUAUAUAACAUACCUGUUACCCUAAUUCAGCUGUUCCAUAGUUGAAUAAAUAACAUAUGAAUUUGAACUGAGAAAUAUUACCCCUGCCUCAAACCACAGCAUGAAGGUUAAAAAUACUAAUUUAUAAAUGAUGAGCUAUGCAAUAAAUACUUGAUAAUACAUGUCU